UGCGGGGAUAGCUCAGUUGGGAGAGCGUCAGACUGAAGAUCUGAAGGUCGCGUGUUCGAUCCACGCUCACCGCAUUUUUAUUUUUCUUCGUAAAUUAGGAUUUUAGCCGAACCACUUCGGAUUCCAUCUUCUUCUCCCAACCACAGAGGGGAACUGCAAACGAUUGACGAUUCCCCUGGUGAAACGUAUUCACGAUUCCAUGGAAAAAAAAGAAUACAAGUGUUCUUUCAAGUAUGUACUACCCCAAUCGAAAGGGACUUAUCUUAGAUGGAGGAGAGAAGAAGAGAAGGAGGGAAGAGAAGAGGAGAAGAAGAGAAAAAAGAGGAAAGAAUUGAGUGGUAGAUUCCUUGAGUAUAUGUACAACUCCAGCUUGAAGACGGGACUCAACAAUGGCUGGCCGACCACUGCCGAGUAAAAAAUGUUUGUAGAUAUGAUGGGCCCGCCACACCCUGAUCCGGACAGUCAGGUGGACGUCUACAACUUUACACUGAAAGUCACAUCGACUAUCCAUCUCCCACCCCCCUAUGGGGCGGUUAACACAAAUCUGAACAUAGUAAUCUGAUCUAUAUAGUUACGAUACUGUGCUCUUGUAACUGAACUGAACUGAACUAUCAUUCGAAUUCUGAUAACAUAUAAUACAUGAUAAUAUAUUUGUCUAACAUAAAUAAAUUGAUAGCAUUUUCUUGAAA